UCUUUAUUUCAAAACCAAAGAAAUUCUUGCAUAGAUAUCUUUAAUCAACUUGGAUAUAUUUUGAAGAAAAGCCAUGUCAAGGUGGUUUAAAGGUGGAAGUAUGAAAAACAAGUGCACAAUGGAGCAAAGGUUAAGGCACGAAAUAAGAUAUUAUCUUAAUUUGUGGGUUAAAGUGAAACAUCAUAGAGCUGCAGAUAAUCAGUUUGUAUAAUAUGCUCAGAUGAAUUUCGAAUGAAAGGUAGGUAUGCCAAGUAUGUGAUAACUAAAGACUAGAUUUAAUUGCAUUCAAAACAUAAAAAUUACAUAUUAAAAUUAUAUAAUUUCAUCAAAAAAUAUGUAAAAAUUGAAUAAUAAAUUGCACUACAAAAAUGGAAAAGUUAUAUAAAAAAAAAUAGAUAAAUGUUACUUUUUUAAAUUAAAAUUGAUAAUUAGAUAAAUUUCUUAAUUAUUUUCAUUCAAAUUAAAUUUUCUACUACUCAAAAUAUGUUUGUACAAAGAAAAAUUACGUUAUAUGUCUACAUUAGUUAUUGGUGCAUAUUUAAAAUAUUUAAUAAAGUAGGCGUUAUAUCUAAAUUAAUAUUUGCUUUACUUGACAUGACUUCAUGGUAUGACUAAAGUUUUAUACCCUUCAUCAUUUUUUUCAAUUACAUACAUACAUUUUUCUUUAAUUUUUUUUUCCAUUUGGACCAGGAAUAUUUGUUAAAAUAUUUUCAAUUUUUCUAAAAAUGCCCACGCUUUUCAGUAGGUCACUAUUAGAUUCUUCCAAAUUUUUAAGAUUCAUGGAUAACUCGGAUAAGUGUAAUUUUAUGAAUGCUAAAUCACAUUUAACUGCAUUAUUUUGUACAAGCCGUUUUAGCUUCAACACUUGUAGGAUCAUCUGUUAGAUAUUCAAUCACGUUUUUAAACUUUUAAAAAUUAUUUGUAAAAAAAAGUGCAGCAUUUAACCAUGUUCCCC